CGAACGCUGGCGGCAGGCCUAACACAUGCAAGUCGAACGGAUCCUUCGGGAUUAGUGGCGGACGGGUGAGUAACACGUGGGAACGUGCCCUUUGGUUCGGAACAACUCAGGGAAACUUGAGCUAAUACCGGAUGUGCCCUUCGGGGGAAAGAUUUAUCGCCAUUGGAGCGGCCCGCGUCUGAUUAGCUAGUUGGUGAGGUAACGGCCCACCAAGGCGACGAUCAGUAGCUGGUCUGAGAGGAUGAUCAGCCACACUGGGACUGAGACACGGCCCAGACUCCUACGGGAGGCAGCAGUGGGGAAUCUUGCGCAAUGGGCGAAAGCCUGACGCAGCCAUGCCGCGUGAAUGAUGAAGGUCUUAGGAUUGUAAAAUUCUUUCAGCGGGGACGAUAAUGACGGUACCCGCAGAAGAAGCUCCGGCUAACUUCGUG
rnacentral:rRNA from 1 species